GACGAACGCUGGCGGCGUGCUUAACACAUGCAAGUCGUACGGUAAGGCCCUUUCUUUGGUAUACGAUUGGCGAACGGGUGAGUAACACGUGAGUAACCUGCCCACCCCUUUGUGUUAACGCUAUUAACCUGGUGCUAAUACUGGCUAUGUUCUCCUUCUUCAUGCUUGGGGUUGGUAAGCUCCGGCGGUUGUGUGUGGACUCGCGGGCUGUCAGCUUGUUGGUGGGGUUGUGGGCUACCAAGGCGGCGUCCGGUGGCCGGCCUGAGAGGGUGACCGGCCACAGUGGGGACGGGAUAAGGGCCAGACUCCUACGGGGAGGAGGAGGGGGGAAUAAUGCACAAUGGGCGCAAGCCUGAUGGAGCAAAGGCGCGGGGGGGAUGGAGGCCUUCGGGUUGGAAACCGGUUUCAGCAGGGACGGAGCGUUGUGUGACGGUAACUGGAGAAGAAGCACCGGCUAACUACGUG
rnacentral:rRNA from 1 species